rnacentral:rRNA from 1 species
ACGCGGGCUGGGUUCAGAACGUCGUGAGACAGUUCGGUCCCUAUCCGUCGCAGGCGUAGGAAAUUUGAGAAGACCGGUCCUUAGUACGAGAGGACCGGGAUGGACGUACCUCUGGUGUACCAGUUGUCCUGCCAAGGGCAUGGCUGGGUAGCUAUGUACGGAAUGGAUAAGCGCUGAAAGCAUCUAAGCGCGAAGCCAACUUC